rnacentral:rRNA from 1 species
GCUUGUCUCAAAGAUUAAGCCAUGCAUGUCUAAGUACAAGCCUCAGUAAGGUGAAACCGCGAAUGGCUCAUUAAAUCACACCUAAUCUACUGGAAAGUUACUAGUUACUUGGAUAACUGAGGUAAUUCUUGAGCUAAUACAUGCGAAAAAUCUCGACUCACGGAGAGAUGCUUUUAUUAGAUAACAGACCAAUAUUCCCUCGUGUCUAUUGUGGUGAAUCAUAGUAACUGAUCGGAUCGCAUGGGCGUGCCCGCGACAAACCAUUCAAGUUUCUGCCCCAUCAGCUUUCGAUGGUAGUGUAUUGGACUACCAUGGCUUUUACGGGUAACGGAGGAUUAGGGUUCGAUUCCGGAGAGGGAGCCUGAGAAACGGCUACCACAUCUAAGGAAGGCAGCAGG